UACGAAGGGGGCUAGCGUUGCUCGGAAUGACUGGGCGUAAAGGGCGCGUAGGCGGCUUGCACCGUCAGAUGUGAAAUUCCUGGGCUUAACCUGGGGGCUGCAUUUGAUACGUGUGGGCUUGAGUGCGGAAGAGGGUCGUGGAAUUCCCAGUGUAGAGGUGAAAUUCGUAGAUAUUGGGAAGAACACCGGUGGCGAAGGCGGCGACCUGGUCCGUGACUGACGCUGAGGCGCGUAAGCGUGGGGAGCAAACAGG
rnacentral:rRNA from 1 species